rfam:Guillardia theta CCMP2712 unplaced genomic scaffold GTITHscaffold_19, whole genome shotgun sequence.
AUACCUUCUCGGCCUUUUGGCUAAGAUCAAGUGUAGUAUCUGUUCUUAUCAGCUUAAUCUCUGAUACAGGGGCAAUGCCCCUUCGAGAUUAACUCAAUUUCUCUCGCGGGAGGCUUCACCCGGGCGCUUGCGUCCCGAAGCCUCACGUGUGUCCUCGGAGCUGCACUACUUCCUUGGACGCACACCGUCU